UAACUCGCUUAAUCUUAUUCCAAGAACGGGGGACCCAUUUUUGUGGAUUUUAUCCGCUAGGGGUGAAUUCAGAAAUGAAAGGGCUUUGUGUUUCCAAUUCCUAACCCGACAGCUAACCUCGUCAGCGUCUUUAAGGGAA
rnacentral:sRNA from 1 species